GUAACACAGGUAUCUACUGUGUUAAGCUCCAAUGGUAACACAGCUAUCUACUGUAUUAAGCUCCAAUGGUAUAAUGUGUAAUUGAGUGGAUGUGUUGGCUAUGAAAACAUCAACAAGUGGGUGAACCAAUGAACUACUGUACUAGACAAUGCCCGCACACAGACAGUCCUCACAGGUCCUCCUUUGUACCCUGAUCCUAUAAGCCAACCAGGUGAGAGCAGAGUUUCUCUCCCAUAACAGACAGUAGUUACCCAGCACCCAGAGCUAUUGUCUGUCUCAUACUUCACCAUCAAAGCUGAGAAAAGGAAAGGUCACCUCUCUGCCUCGGAUACUACUCCAACCGUACAGGAUUUUCAUUUGUUUUGGGACAUUGUAUGGGGACAUGGACUCAUCUCCAACUUAGACCAUUUCUGAGGUCUGAACACAUCAGAGAAAAGUACAUUUGGGAGUCAACUGUCACUAAGGUUUCUUUGUCAGGAGGACUCUGAGAUUUGGGAGUCAACUAUCACUAAGGUUUUUUUGUCAGGAGGACUCUGAGAUUUGGGAGUCAACUAUCACUAAGGUUUCUUUGUCAGGAGGACUCUGAGAUUUGGUAGUCAACUGUCACUAAGGUUUCUUUGUCAGGAGGACUCUGAGAUUUGGGAAUCAACUAUCACUAAGGUUUCUUUGUCAGGAGGACUCUGAGAUUUGGGAGUCAACUAUCACUAAGGUUUCUUUGUCAGGAGGACUCUGAGAUUUGGGAGUCAACUAUCACUAAGGUUUAUUUGUCAGGAGGACUCUGAGAUUUGGGAGUCAACUAUCACUAAGGUUUCUUUGUCAGGAGGACUCUGAGAUUUGGGAGUCAACUAUCACUAAGGUUUCUUUGUCAGGAGGACUCUGAGAUUUGGGAGUCAACUAUCACUAAGGUUUCUUUGUCAGGAGGACUCUGAGAUUUGGGAGUCAACUAUCACUAAGGUUUCUUUGUCAGGAGGACAACGGACGACGUGAUGUUCCAGGGCGUGUCUGAGAUCGCGGCGCUGUGCGCGGGACUGGUGGGUCUGAUCGGAGCAGCCGCCGUCACCGGGAUGCCCAUGUGGAAGGUUACGGCCUUCAUCGGAGAGAACAUCAUCGUCAUGGAGACGCGCUGGGAGGGCCUGUGGAUGAACUGCUAUAGACAGGCCAACAUCAGGAUGCAGUGUAAAGUGUACGACUCUCUGCUGUAUCUCCCCGCAGACCUGCAGGCUGCCAGGGGCUUGAUGUGCUGCUCUCUGGCUCUCUCAGGGAUGGGUCUACUGGGGGCUCUAGCAGGGAUGCGUUGUACCUCCUGCAUCCAGGACAACGACCGCAUUAAGAGCCUCAUCCUCAUGGUGGCUGGAGGCAUGCAGUUACUGGCCUCUAUCUGUGUGUUCAUCCCAGUCUCCUGGACGGCUCACGCCAUAAUCCGUGACUUCUAUAACCCUUUGCUGAUCGACGCCCAGCGCAGGGAGUUGGGAGAGGCUCUCUACAUCGGUUGGGUGACCGGAGCCUUCCUCCUGACCUCUGGGCUUCUCUUCCUCUGUCGCCGCGUCCACUCCAACAAAGCCUCGUUCGAUAUCUAUCACCCAGCCAACAGGAUCAACAAACCCACUCUGAUGCACUACCAUCCCAUCUCUAGCAUUCUUAGCGUGAGGGCUCACCGCCAGCCCGGUCUGAGCCACCAACAAAGUCACAGCUUCGAUGCACACCAACACCACCAAGCUCCGAUUCUUCAUAACGUUCCUUAUGGACAACAAGGGUUCGUCAUGAACCCUCCUGCUGCUGUGUAUGACUCUAGCUCGGUGGAGAACGUUGGGCCGUUGGUCUAUCACCAUGGCAACGGACGUCAUGUUGACGGACACCAUCCCUCCACCUCUAACAGCUCCAACUACGUCAGCAGCCUGUCCACUCUGGCUGACUCCCUAUACAUCAGCCAACAGACUCCGUACUCCUAUAACCACCUGACCGCUCCGUAUACCACAUAUACCGGUAGUCAACAGACAAAUCCAUACUCCUACAGUCAUCCAGGAAACCUGUCUGUUUCACACAACUCCAGUUUUCAAGCCGUACCUCAGAAUCCUGUUUUUAUCGGGUAUAAGGGCUCCAGAGUUCAACCAUCGCAGUCUCACCACAGUGGAAGCAGUGUUGGUGUGUACAUCUGAAUAGACUGCAAAGAGACCAGUCAUCGUCUGAUACUCACUGUACCUUAACAAAUGUAUCGCCUGUGUAUGGUUAUUAUAAUCACAUGGUAUCUUUUUUUUAUUUUAUUAAGUUAAAUGUCUGUUUUGGUAUUCUGGUAAAACUGUAAUGUGUUCAGUGUUUGGGACAGUUAUAGCUGUGUAGAGUGUUCAGUGUUUGGGACAGUUAUAGCUGUGUAGAGUGUUCAGUGUUUGGGACAGUUAUAGCUGUGUAGAGUGUUUGGGACAGUUAUAGCUGUGUUCAGUGUUUGGGACAGUUAUAGCUGUGUAGAGUGUUCAGUGUUUGGGACAGUUAUAGCUGUGUAGAGUGUUCAGUGUUUGGGACAGUUAUAGCUGUGUAGAGUGUUCAGUGUUUGGGACAGUUAUAGCUGUUUAUAGUGUUCAGUGUUUGGGACAGUUACAGCUGUGUAGAGUGUUUGGGACAGUUAUAGCUGUGUAGAGUGUUCAGUGUUUGGGACAGUUAUAGCUGUGUAGAGUGUUCAGUGUUUGGGACAGUUAUAGCUGUGUAGAGUGUUCAGUGUUUGGGAUGUAUAAACAUACAUUUAAAAGUAAACCAGUUUUUUCUAACUCAAGGUGUCAUGGCUGACACCGGAUUCUUUCUACAAAUAUCUUUGAAUAUUAAUUUGGGGCAGAUAUUAUUAAUAUUAUUAAUAUUAAUUCGAUAUUUUUGGAAAACACAGUCGCAUAAAAAAAGGCUAAGACCAAAACUUUGCUCUUCCAGAAAAUGUGUUUUUGUGAAAUGUUCUGUAUAAAUUGUUUUAAAAAAUAAAAUAAAAAGCCCUUGUGUAUGGUUUGUUAAACGUUGAAA